CCUACGGGAGGCAGCAGUGGGGAAUAUUGCACAAUGGGGGAAACCCUGAUGCAGCGACGCCGCGUGAGUGAAGAAGUAUUUCGGUACGUAAAGCUCUAUCAGCAGGGAAGAAAAUGACGGUACCUGACUAAGAAGCCCCGGCUAACUACGUGCCAGCAGCCGCGGUAAUACGUAGGGGGCAAGCGUUAUCCGGAUUUACUGGGUGUAAAGGGAGCGUAGACGGCAGCGCAAGUCUGGAGUGAAAUCCCAUGGCUUAACCAUGGAACUGCUUUGGAAACUGUGCAGCUAGAGUGCAGGAGAGGUAAGCGGAAUUCCUAGUGUAGCGGUGAAAUGCGUAGAUAUUAGGAAGAACACCAGUGGCGAAGGCGGCUUACUGGACUGUAACUGACGUUGAGGCUCGAAAGCGUGGGGAGCAAACAGGAUUAGAUACCCCUGUAGUC
rnacentral:rRNA from 1 species